UACGAAGGGGGCUAGCGUUGUUCGGAAUUACUGGGCGUAAAGCGCGCGCAGGCGGUCUUCCAAGUCAGUGGUGAAAGCCCGGAGCUCAACUCCGGAAUUGCCAUUGAAACUGUUGGACUUGAGGAUGAGAGAGGUGAGUGGAAUUCCCAGUGUAGAGGUGAAAUUCGUAGAUAUUCGCAAGAACACCAGUGGCGAAGGCGGCUCACUGGCCCGGUACUGACGCUGAGGUGCGAAAGCGUGGGGAGCAAACAGG
rnacentral:rRNA from 1 species